rnacentral:rRNA from 1 species
AGCGAACGCUUGCGGCGGGCCUAACACAUGCAAGUCGAACGUUAAAGUCCUUCGGGAUGAGUAAAGUGGCGUACGGGUGAGUAACACGUGGGUAAUCUACCUUAAAGCUCGGAAUAACCUGCCGAAAGGCGGGCUAAUACCGGAUAGUGCGAAGAGUGUUGUAAAGACAUUCUCGGAAAAGGGAGCUGCUUUGGCAGCCCACACUUUAAGAUGAGCCCGCGUCCCAUUAGCUAGUUGGUAAGGUAAUGGCUUACCAAGGCAACGAUGGGUAGCUGGUCUGAGAGGACGAUCAGCCACACUGGAACUGAAACACGGUCCAGACUCCUACGGGAGGCAGCAGUGGGGAAUAUUGCGCAAUGGACGAAAGUCUGACGCAGCCACGCCGCGUGAGUGAAGAAGGCCUUAGGGUUGUAAAGCUCUGUCGAAAGGGACGAAUAGCCAGAUAACUAAUAAUUAUUUGGUCUGACGGUACCUUUAAAGGAAGCACCGGCUAACUCUGUGCCAGCCGCCGCCGUAA